AGAGGGAUGGAGAUCGUGGGGAGGUAAUUGGGUCGUCGGAUAGGAUGACUUCGAAGGGGGAAGGUAAUUGAGAUUUAGGGUUAUUAGAACACGGGUCGGGUCGUCGGGUAGGAUCAUGUUAGUGGUAGGUGGGCAGGAUAGCAAAUAAAUGAAUAAUUAUAACUUCUUAGGUUUUAUUGUCUUUUUUCUCUAUUUUUGAUUUAUU
rnacentral:lncRNA from 1 species